UUGAAAAUUACGUACAGCAUUUAUGUAUAGCAUUAAGUUACUCAUAAUUGUACGAAUUUUGUGCUUACAUACGUAUGUAUGUAUGUAUGUAUUAUUAUUAAAAGAAUCCACUUUAGUUUUUAAAUGCAUGCAAUCUCUGUACUCACGUCUAUAAGCAUUAAUACCUGUGUAUGUACAUACUAACAUGUUUGUAUCAUUUUUAACUCUUCCACCGCGGGAACAUUUGGACAAUAAAUUGAAAUUCAAUAAAAAAAAAAGGUGAACAACGCCACGGCUCGUGUGCAGACCAAAAAAGUUACAGCUCUUCCAAAUGUUGUACUGACAAAAGACGGUGCCAUACCGGCUCAAGCUCUAGGUGAGCAGAUUUUUUACCUUAGAUAACUAAUGUGCAAAAUAUUUCAUUGUUGGUUGCUGAAAUUUGAAAAUUUUUAAAAACAUUAUGUAAAUAUAAAUAGUUUGAAGCACCUUAAAAGCUCUACAAAACAAGUAAACUAUUUCCGCAAUAUAUAUGUAAAUACAUACAUAAUUUAUAAGCUUGUUGACAGUUUUUUUGCAUCUGGCAUGACAUGUUGCAUGUUACAUAUUGCGUGUUGCAUGUAAACGUUUUUAUUCCAAAACCCAAGAAAGGCCAUUUCAAUAUGC